AUCCAGGUGACGAGUCUCAAAUAAAACGAAACAAGCGUCAAACUGGAU
rnacentral:hammerhead_ribozyme from 1 species